ACCAACCUAAUUCUUGAACUCUCUGUCGUUGGACCUCCUCACUACCGCUAUCGCCCACCCCUCUCUCUUCUCUCUCUCUCACAACCCUUCUACCGCCUUCACCUUUGACGCCGACCAGCCAACACCAACAUCCGCAAACCACCCUUCCGCUACCACUGCUUCGCCGGCGAGUGGUCAGAAAUCCGGCAAAAACCUCAAGCAGCUAGUUACCACACUGAUGAUUUUGAAGAAGGGAGAUGCAGAAAUGAUUAUAAAGGCUAUAAGCAUGCAAGUAAAAACUUGGUCACAUAUGUAAGAUUAGUGAAUAACAAAAAAUAAACUUAUUGUAAGAAUUACAAUCAUUGCAGCAUAUCCUGAAGAAAGCGGAAGUAUUAGCUGCGUCAGUUAACUAGUCAUUAUUUUAGUGCAUGUACCUCUCUUCAGAAUCUAGAGGAAGCAACUGAUUAACGCUACAUAAUUCGCCUCUUGCCAAAAAAAAUUCGCACACGCGCACACAUAGAACAGAGUACGAAAAAGAACAAUGAAACUUCAGCUUCAUCUGCCCUAAUUCUGAUCUCGGAUUUUAGCUUCUUCAUCUGAUUUUCGAUCUUGAAACCAUGGAAUCUGACUGAAUUUGAUGGAAGUCGUUUUGGUUUCGAGCUUCUGGCGUCUAUUCGAGUUUUCAUCUGCGGUUCCAGCAUUUGUGUUUCAAAGUUGCCAUACAAUAAAACUUCAGGUUCAUUGAGGUAUGGAUUAGUGUACCAGAGCUCGAGCAUGACAAAUACCUCAGGACCACUGCAUUCAGGAGCUGCUUAAAGAUACUUUUAUAUUUAGAGUCUGUCAUUCAUGUUGUCUUUUACUUUCUAGUCUUGUACAGUAAUAUCGAGUCUUUGUUAUAUUACUUCCCAUUUUGUAUUUGAAAAAAAAAUGAAAAUCCAACAAGAUUUUUA